UACGUAGGGUGCAAGCGUUACUCGGAAUUACUGGGCGUAAAGCGUGCGCAGGCGGUUCGCUAAGACAGAUGUGAAAUCCCCGGGCUUAACCUGGGAACUGCAUUUGUGACUGGCGGGCUAGAGUAUGGCAGAGGGGGGUAGAAUUCCACGUGUAGCAGUGAAAUGCGUAGAUAUGUGGAGGAACACCGAUGGCGAAGGCAGCCCCCUGGGUCAAAACUGACGCUCAUGCACGAAAGCGUGGGGAGCAAACAGG
rnacentral:rRNA from 1 species